rnacentral:rRNA from 1 species
GUUAGGAAUAUUCGUCAAUGGGGGAAACCCUGAACGAGCAAUGCCGCGUGAACGAUGACGGUCCUCUGGAUUGUAAAGUUCUGUUGUUUGGGAAGAAUUGUAAGGCUAGGAAAUGAGUCUUAUUUGACGGUACCAUUCAAGAAAGCCACGGCUAACUACGUGCCAGCAGCCGCGGUAAUACGUAGGUGGCGAGCGUUAUCCGGAUUUAUUGGGCGUAAAGGGUGCGCAGACGGUUUAUUAAGUCUAAAAUUAAAUCUUGGAGCUUAACUCCAUUCCGUUUUAGAAACUGGUAGACUCGAGUAUGGUAGAGGCAAAUGGAAUUCCUAGUGUAGCGGUGGAAUGCGUAGAUAUUAGGAGGAACACCAGUGGCGAAGGCGAUUUGCUGGGCCAUUACUGACGUUCAGGCACGAAAGCGUGGGGAGCAAAUAGGA